GAUGAACGCUGGCGGCGUGCUUAACACAUGCCAGUCGAACGGAAAGGCCCAAGCUUGCUUGGGUACUCGAGUGGCGAACGGGUGAGUAACACGUGGGUGAUCUGCCCUGCACUUCGGGAUAAGCCUGGGAAACUGGGUCUAAUACCGGAUAGGACCACAUUUUGGAUGGUGUGGUGGAAAGUUUUUCGGUGUGGGAUGAGCUCGCGGCCUAUCAGCUUGUUGGUGGGGUAAUGGCCUACCAAGGCGUCGACGGGUAGCCGGCCUGAGAGGGUGUACGGCCACAUUGGGACUGAGAGACGGCCCAGACUCCUACGGGAGGCAGCAGUGGGGAAUAUUGCACAAGGGGCGCAAGCCUGAUGCAGCGACGCCGCGUGGGGGAGGACGGCCUUCGGGUUGUAAACUCCUUUCGCUAGGGACGAAGCGUUAUGUGACGGUACCUGGAGAAGAAGCACCGGCUAACUACGUG
rnacentral:rRNA from 1 species